CACGUAGGGGGCGAGCGUUGUCCGGAAUCACUGGGCGUAAAGGGCGUGUAGGCGGGAAGGAAAGUCAGAUGUGAAAUCCCUGGGCUCAACCCAGGAACUGCAUUUGAAACUCCCUUUCUUGAGUGUCGGAGAGGAAAGUGGAAUUCCUGGUGUAGAGGUGAAAUUCGUAGAUAUCAGGAGGAACACCGGUGGCGAAGGCGGCUUUCUGGACGACAACUGACGCUGAGACGCGAAAGCGUGGGGAGCAAACAGG
rnacentral:rRNA from 1 species